GGCGCAGUGGUCUAGCGGUAUGACGCUUGCUAUGUAGUAUCAUCCUGGAUACAGGCAACGGGCAAGAGAACCUGGGUUCAAACCCCAGCUGAGCCA